UACGUAGGGGGCGAGCGUUGUCCGGAUUUAUUGGGCGUAAAGAGCUCGUAGGCGGCUCGUCGCGUCGACUGUGAAAACUCGGGGCUUAACCCCGGGCUUGCAGUCGAUACGGGCGGGCUAGAGUUCGGUAGGGGAGACUGGAAUUCCUGGUGUAGCGGUGAAAUGCGCAGAUAUCAGGAGGAACACCGGUGGCGAAGGCGGGUCUCUGGGCCGAUACUGACGCUGAGGAGCGAAAGCGUGGGGAGCGAACAGG
rnacentral:rRNA from 1 species